rnacentral:rRNA from 1 species
UACAGAGGUGGCGAACGUUGUUCGGAUUUACUGGGCGUAAAGGGUCCGCAGGCGGCUUGGUGUGUCGGGUGUGAAAGCUCACGGCUCAACCGUGGAAUUGCAUUCGAAACUGCCGAGCUAGAGUACUGGAGGGGAGAAGGGAACACUUGGUGUAGCGGUGAAAUGCGUAGAUAUCAAGUGGAACACCGGUGGCGAAGGCGCUUCUCUGGACAGAUACUGACGCUCAUGGACGAAAGUUAGGGUAGCGAAAGGGAUUAGAUACCCCUGUAGUCCUAACCGUAAACGGUGUGCACUAGGCGUGGGUGGCUUUACCCCCAUCCGUGCCUGAGCUAACGCAUUAAGUGCACCGCCUGGGGAGUACGGUCGCAAGAUUAAAACUCAAAGGAAUUGACGGGGACCCGCACAAGCGGUGGAGCAUGUGGCUUAAUUCGAUGCAACGCGAAGAACCUUACCUGGGCUUGACAUCUAGCUGCAUACGACCUGAAAGGGACGUAGCCUUCGAGGGUGCUAGACAGGUGCUGCAUGGCUGUCGUCAGCUCGUGCCGUGAGGUGUUGGGUUAAGUCCCGCAACGAGCGCAACCCCUGUGUUUAGUUGCCAUCAGUUCGGCUGGGAACUCUAAACAGACUGCCUGUGAAAGCAGGAGGAAGGUGGGGAUGACGUCAAGUCAGUAUGGUCCUUAUGUCCAGGGCUGCACACGUGCUACAAUGGGAUGUACAGUGGGAGGCCAAGCCGCGAGGUGGAGCAAAUCCUCAAAACAUCCCCCAGUUCGGAUUGUAGUCUGAAACUCGACUACAUGAAGUUGGAAUCGCUAGUAAAGGCGUAUCAGCUACGACGCCUUGAAUACGUUACCCGGGUG